GCCUUCGUAGUGUAGCAGUCAGCAUAGUCAACUCGUAUUCCAGAGGUUCGUGGUUCGAGUCCCGACUAAGGCG
rnacentral:tRNA from 1 species